UACGUAGGGGGCUAGCGUUGUCCGGAAUCAUUGGGCGUAAAGCGCGUGUAGGCGGCCCGAUAAGUCCGCUGUGAAAGUCGGGGGCUCAACCCUCGGAAGCCGGUGGAUACUGUCGGGCUCGAGUACGGAAGAGGCGAGUGGAAUUCCUGGUGUAGCGGUGAAAUGCGCAGAUAUCAGGAGGAACACCAAUUGCGAAGGCAGCUCGCUGGGACGUAACUGACGCUGAGACGCGAAAGCGUGGGGAGCAAACAGG
rnacentral:rRNA from 1 species